AUGAGUGGUGUUUUCUCCGGGCAACGUGUUGUGGUUUUUGAUUCUGAUCAAGUAUCUGAUUUUGAACAUGACAAAAAAGAAGGAGUUUUUCAUAUUGAUGUGAAAUUAUACUUUACGAUGAGGUUUAGGCUUGGUGAUUUUAUUUUUGGAGAUAAUAACAGUAACGUUAAAUGUGGGAUUGAUGUUCCUUUUGGUUCUAAUGGGACUAAGCUAAUUAAUGCAUUUGAACCUACCACAUGUGAUGUUAAUUUUUAA